CUCCGGCCUCCCGACAGGCUCCGCGUGCUUUACGCGCCAGCUUUGGCCUUAGCCAGCGAGUGGCAGAAUCGCGGCAGAGGAUGGAGAGCAGCGAUGAAGCGGCCGUCGAGAAAUGCCGAAUCCACUUGCGCCCCGGCACGCUGCGCGACGCGCCUCCCGCCACGUUGCACCUUCUGCCCUGCGAGGUUCUGGUUAGCCGGCCUGCCCCCGUGGGGCGCUUCUUCACCCCAGCCAUCCGCCAGGGUCCCGACGGACUGGAAGUGUCGUUUCGGGGCCGCAAACUACGCGGCGAGGAGGUGGUGGUGCCGCCUGGGCUCGUGGGCUACGUGAUGGAAGAAAAGGGAGAGGGGUUGGUGGGGAAGGGCUUCUCGGAGGGUUCGUCGAAUGACAACGAGCAAGAGCAGCAGGAGCUGGCGGAACCCCCAGAGGCGCUGGAGCGGGACUUUGACCGGUUCAUUGGAGCCACCGCUAGUUUCAGUGGCUUCACGCUGUGGGGCCUGGAGACCAUCCCCGGUCCGGAUGCCAAAGUGCGCGGGGCCCUAACCUGGCCCAGUCUCGCUGCCGCGGGAACUCCUGGCCCCUCCCCAGUGAACUUCCACCUGUCCUCAAGAACUGCCUGGAAUGGGUGCUUCUGGUGCACCGGUCUGCUCCUGCUGGGGAGAACUGAGCACAUCUUGGUGACCUUGACCAUAACCUGUCUCCACUGAGGUCUGAGCUCCCAAGCUUAGAUGCAUUUUAAGUAUCUGCCUGCUCUACCAGACUGAGGGCUUCCUGGGGAUGUGCCACCAUCCAGCAUCAUUCUACUAAUAAAAUUCCUCAAAUGGACCACGACCUGGAUUAAGUCAAGCCUCUGUGUCUUCACCAAACAGCUAACACUCCCUCCCAUCUCCCAGGUCAGAGCUUGGUUAUCCCAAGGAUUCAGUGAGUAGAGAGUUGAUUAGAGUGGAGAUAAGAUACUGGGAAGCAGAAGGGGUCCUUGCAGUUGGAGGAACAGGGAAGAGUUCAUGUAUUACGAGGGACAGAGUCCCUUCUGGGCUUUAAAGAGACUGAUCUGCCUGAAUCCAAGAAGCAGAGGCCAAAUGCACACAAAAAUUUGCUGAGUUAACACCAUUUUGAUGUUUGAUGACAUUCUGAUCAUCUGUCUGCAAGGCUCAGGCAACAACUAGGGAAACGGAGGCACCGGUCCUCACCUAGGAACUUGUAUGACGGCAUAGAAGCAGACAGAUAAACAACAGUGGCUCACCUGGCCUCUGCCUGUGGCCCUCGGCAGGAGCCUAUGAGUCAGAUUUGGGGAAAGUUGGGUGGUGCUUAGAACCUUAGCCAAGAAGGAGUGAGGGGCUGAGAACCUAACAAACGAGCAGGGCAGUCACGCUGAGAAUGGAAGAGAACCUCAGGAGAGUCUCAUCUUUAUUUCUGGCCAGCUCCCCUGGCGAUGGGGCUGCACAGCAGGGCUGACAGUAGCCUGGCAUGUCUAAGAGGGAGGCACAACAGGGGCACUGGUGCCGGGCCCGCCAGUACCCAACCCCAGCCCCUGGCCGAGGGCACAGGUACUCACUGAACUCGAUCAGCAGCUUGCCGUAGCCCCGGCGCUGGUAGGGAGGCAGGGUCAGGAUGCAGGCCACGUUGUAGUCUUCCGUGGAUUCCUUUUCCUAGAAAGCAGGGGUGGGUGAGUGAGGAGGGGGACACAGCUCAGGGCAGGGCCGAGAGAGGAUCCAGGUGAGCACUCACCUUGGAAAAGUAGCCCACAAUGUGGAAGCCCUUACAGUCAUACUCGGUCAUGACAUAGAAGAGGAAGGGAUCUGUGUCAUAGUACAAUGUCUUAUGGUCGAGAAAACACUUGGCCAGGAGACACAGGUUCUGGGAAUAACUCUGCAAAGGAAAAGGCCUGUCACCAUUCUGGGUACCCAGUCUUAAACGUAGUCACUUAGUUUCUUUACCCGAGGCUGAUAGGUGAUGAACCUUCCUCCCUGGGGUCUGAUCCAUUCAAUGGGUCAGGCUGUCUCUGCCACUCAGGCAGAGCGACUUCUCAGUGCUGAGCCCAUAUACCAGCUCCACGAUGGUGCCUGACCACCUGCCUUGCUGGUGGGCUGGGCAGGCUUACCCCCGGGCGCCAUACCUCCACCUAAGUCUCGCCCAGGGGGCUUCCACUGCCCUCUGCUGUAGUUGACAACAGUCAACAAAUUGCAGCGUGUUUCCAGGAAGGCAGACUGCCACGGCUUAUGAGCAGCUCUACCCAGGUGACGGUCCUAGGAAUCUACCUGUCCAAAACCACAACACUCUCUGGCCCGCGGUCACACCUACUGGAGGCUGACCUCCUAUCCUACAAUGGAGAUUAGGUGUUCUGAAACUGAAAGGGAACAGCCUCCGGGGUUGCCCAGCAAAAUGAUUAAUCUUGCUGCUCUACCUCUAUACACAUUUUUCUCCUGCAUACCAGACGUGGCUUUUUAACCACCUGCUGGGCACUGCCAUCUGGAUGCCUAAAUCCACAUUUAACCACAAAGAACAGCAGUUAAAGCGUCUUCCUGCAAGCUUCCCCAGCACCCACACCAGAGCUCUCACCUGCCCUUCAAGAUGCUUCUCCCUCACUGCCCUCUCUGCCCUGGGAAUGACCUCACAGUCCUAACGGUCCCUCCAGAUUACUCCUUCCUUCCCGCAGCCACAGACUGAGGCAGGUUUGAAGCCCAAACCUGCAGUGACCCCUACUCCUCCCCCAACUGACCUUAUUCUCACCACCUGAGCUCUGCUUCUUGUAACAACCUUGCCUCAUGCUCUCUGCCUUUCAGCCCAAAUGGUCUUGAGCCCUCACACCACCUGUACGUCCAGGCCUACCCUUCAGGACCCUCCUGCUUGUGACUCCCUUACCCACCUUACCCUUGUGUCAAGGAUCAAAGAUGACCUCCUCUGUGAAGUUCUGCUGGCCAUCUCCUCUGGAUCUGAGCCCCCUCCCCUCCCCCCCGCCCUUUGUUUCAUGACACUUAUCCCUGGAAUCUGAAGAUACUGGCAAAUCUGUUUUUUCCAGACUGUGAACACUUAGAGCCUUUGUCUAGUUACUGGUCAUCUUUAUACCUCCCCACACCCGCCCUACGGCAGGAACUCCAUAAAAAUGGGAUAAACUAAUCUGCUGAUCAGACUGCUCAGUGUGUUCCUGAGCAGGGGGAAGCUGCUCAUUUAACUCCCCCCUACACCACCAGUGCCAAUGGCUCCCCACUGCCCCUGAGCCACAGACCUUGUUCUUACGUCCAUCAAUCUCAAAGAAAGAGAUGGUGCCCUUGCGGUAAAUCUCAUUGCCCGGAGGAUGUCGCAGGUCACACUUGGUCUGAGGAAGACAGGAGGAUCAGAGGCAGGGGCAGGGUGGAGGGCAGCAGGCAGGCAGCCUCCUGGGACCCCUCAUACCAAGUGACGCUGCAGACACUUCAGGCUACGGCCGUAUUUGAGGCAGAACUCGCAGAGGUAGAGGACGGGCAAUGUGGUAAGCUCCUGUGGGUACGGGGAGAAGUACCACGGCUUCAGGCGGUGCCGGCCCAGCUCGAUGCACUCGAUGUUCUUCAUCCGGGUAACGAUGUCGUCGUGGCUGCGGUCAGACACCAAGCUGCCAGUCAUGCGUGGAGCCGACGGUAUUCCAUCUGAGCUGUCCUGGGAGUCCUGCCCAGGGCCAGUGGAGAACACCAGGUUACAGGACACAGCUCGCGUAACCCUUCCAUAGCUUUCCUUGUUCAAGCCUAACAACAACCCUGUGGGGUAGUGUGGUACUACAUUCAGCACUUUCCAGGAAAAGAAAAGGAAACUAGGAAAGGUUUCAAUUGUAGUUUGAAAAAGAUCACCCAGUGACUGAUCUGGACCAGCUCUGCCUGGCUCAUAACCCUACCUAGAUCCUUCACUGCCUACAACCUCUUAUUUAUUCAUUAAAAAAAAAUUUUUUUUUAACAUUUGUUUAUUAUUGAGAGACAGACAAAGACAGAGCAUGAGCACGGGAGGGGCACAGAGAGGAGACACAGAAUCCAAAGCAGGAUCCAGACUCUGAACGGUCAGCACAGAGCCCGAGGCGGGCUUGAACUCACUGGGAGACCAUGACCUGAGCAGAAGUCAGACGCUCAAGCGACUGUGCCCCCCAGGCGCCCCAACCUAUUUAUUUUUAAGCCAAUCACUGAACUCUCCACCCUGCCUGUGUCCCCUCCUUUUCACCCAGCUUUCCUCUUCCCCAGACCUACCUCAUCAGUGCCCAAGCAAUUUGAUUUUCGCUUCCGUCCUGGCUGAGCUGCCACUGCCCUACGGGCGGAUCCAUUCUGCAGGUGAAAUUGUAGGAACGGAAAAGGUGGCUGUGAGAUGAGCUUUAAAGAGGCCACCAGAGGGGAGAAGCGAAGAAGAAAACAAGGGUUUGGGGAACUUACCUGAGGAAAAACUGAGGCUGGCGCUGUCUCGCUGGGCACUGGAGUUGCUGGUGAAACCACCUCCACCUUCCGUUUCUGCAGAGAGAAACCAAGAAAGGUGGGUCAGAAGGUAGAGAAGGUGGGACCUAAGAGGAAAGCAAGGUCCCUGGAAUUGCUGAGGGUACCGUUGAGCGGUGGUUGGGCUGCAGGCAGGAGCUGGAGGAGAGCGGCUGGUCAGGCUCGCCACCGGGAAUGGCCUCCCGCUCCUUGGGCAGGUUGAAGCGGAGUGUGAUCUGGACCGGGAUUGGCAAGGUCUUCCCGCUGGCCUGGGCGGAGGCCGGCUGUAGAGAUAGGUCCAGGGUCUUCCUCUGGGGUGGGGAUGGUUGUGGGAUGGGGAAGGGGAGUAGGGGCCCCUCAGCGUGGAGUGAUCAAACCCCACCCUCUGCCCUCUCAAGGACAUAGGAAUAGCUACUGGACUCUGGAAGCUACAUCUGGAAUUUGGCCCCCAUCCUUUGCAAGCUGAAGCCAGAGUGGAAGGGUGUGGACUCCUACCCAUCCAGGAGCCCCUGAGGCCAAGAGAUGAGAAAAGUAGGAGGCAGGAGAAAAAAGGUGAAGCACGGGACCUACUCACCACCUCUCUCUCUGGAGAGCCGGGGCGGGACCCAGGAAGUCCGUUCUUGGUGGGGGUCUUGGCCUCUUUCUUGGGGAACUGGAUCUUCUUUAGGUCCAGCCGCUCGUGGGUCACCCAUUCAUCCAGGCGUUUGUUGACUGUAGCAGUGGGGAUGGCUCAGGAAGGAAUGCCAGAGGCUGCCUCCCAACCCCACCCUGCAGCCCUACCUCACCCCAACCUAGAACUCACAGUCAAUAUAAUGAACGUAGAAAAGCUUGCGGCCACUGAUGUCCUUCACACUCAGGAUCUCGGCCAAGGCUGUGGGAACAGCACAGGCAGGAGCCUUAGACGAGCCAGGCGAUGAGGAUCCACCCUCCUAAGACCUGAUCUCCACCCCCAGACUGGAUCCCCAGCACUUGGAAGCCUUCGCCCAAACCCCUUUUUAGUCACCAAGUGCCGCCCCCUCUCCAGGCCCCGCCCUGUCCAUCUCCGAGCGGCUGAGAGCCACGCCCCUCCCGGGUAUCUGCGCCCCGCCCGCCCCAGGAUUAUAGAGGCCCCACCCCCUCCCGAGGGUUCGGUUGACUCCCUCCCGCCCCUCGCCCUCAGGUUCCUUAGCCCCGCCCCCCGACGUCACUCACGCCACUCAUCUUCGUUGUCCUGGUUCCGCCGAAGCACGGGCAGGCGGCAGCCCUCGAUUAUCUCCCCCUGGGGAGACAGCGCGGCGCCAGGGUCGGCUACUGGGGGGCCUCGGGUUCUACCCACCUCCCCUGGCUCCCUCCGCCCCGCCCCGGGCACCGGACUCACCACCUCCGCCAUCUUCCCUCCCUCCACUGCCACUUCCGGCCCCUCUGGGAGACGUCACUUCCGGGACUGAUAGCGCUGCAGGCCCGCGCCUCCUGAAGCCGCUUUAGAAGAAGACAUUUAAGAGACACCGCUAUCCAGCUGGAAGCAGGCAGGCGUCCCGUUUGGCUGGCGGGAGAGUGGGGUGUUUUAAAUGAAGGCGUGGGUCCUAGGUGGAAUCCCCGAAAGGCGCACAACGAUUGGAGGAAAGCUGAGUCCGUCACGUGACGCCCACCGGGUGCGACGCCGAUCACGUGGUUACGGCGCGGGUCACGUGGGACUAGGGCCAGCUAUGGAUCACAGCAGAGUUUCAGUCCCUGCCGCCUUGUCAAAGUCACCCGUGACCCCCAUGGUAAUCCCAUGGCUGCUUCUUGGUCCUCUCGUGAAUGGUAUUUGGCACGGUUGGUCAUUCUCCAGUCCUUGAAACACUUGCCCUUGUUGCCAGGAUACCAGACCCUCCUGGUUCCCAUCCAACUUCCGUGGUGGCUGCCCCUUAUCUCCUCUGCUAGUUCCUCUUCCUGUCCGUGACCGUUAAAUGUUCACAGGCCCCAGGUUCAGUCCUGGACUUCGUGGCUUUACAUAACAUUCACAUGCUGAGGUUUCUCAAACUUGUAUCUUCAGCUUAGAUCUCUUCCCCAGCUCCACUCUCGCUGCCCGUUCAGCAUCUCUGCCUGGAUGUCUAGGGGUCAUAUCCAAAAACAAACUCCUGGUCUUCCUUCCUAACGGUCUCCUCCCGCUCUCUUUCUUGUCCCUGUCAGUGAAAAUUUUAUCCAUCCGGCUUGUCAGACCAAGAACCUUGAAGUCAUCGGACUUGACUUCUCUCUCAUUCAGUCCGCCAGCAAAUACUUGAGGCUGUGCCACUUCUCUCUGCCUUCACCACUGCCAGCCUGGGGCGAGCUACCGCCAUCGCCUCCCGGAACUGUUGCAGAAGCCUCAUACCCAGGAACGAGAGGGAUCGUUCAAAAAUAUAACUCACACCGUGUCACCGUGAUGAUCAGAAUCCACCAGUGGUUCGUCAUUUACUCAGAGUAAAACCCCAAAUCCCUGUGUAAAUCCAGUCCCAUUACCAUCUGCCGCUUCUCUCUCCAUUCUACUCUGCGACUCACUACAUUCUACCCACACGGGCCUCCCUGUGUUUCCAGGACUUAGGAAGUUCCUUUCUCUGGUCCUUUGCUGUUUCUUUCCUGCAACACUUUCUCUCCUUUUAUCCACUUGGCUUAGUCCUCACCUCAUUCAAGCCUUUGCUCACAUAUCACCUUCCCAGUGAGGCCACCUCUGACCUCCUCAGUUAAGCCUGCCCAUCCCCCACCCACCUCAUCUCCCCGCUCCUUACUUCAUUGUCCUGCAGAGAAUUUUCACCAGCCAUCGAGCCAUAUAUUUUCCUUAUUUACUCAGUACUGUCUUUCCCUCACUAGAAUGUAGGAUCCAUGAACACAGUAUUUGUAUUGUUUUGUCCAGCGCUAUGCUCCUAGCUUCUAGAAUAGUGCCUGGCUUCCAGGAGGCAUUCCAUUAAAACCUGUCAAAUGGAUUAAGCACAUGAUUUCUCCAGGGAGCCAGAGAUGCAGACUGACAUUUACUGCAGAGAGUGAUUAGUCUCAUAAGAUGGGAAGGAAACCUAAGCUCAGAGGAGACAGAUCCAGGGAAGGAUCUCAGAGCAUCUGAUGUUUGACCUACAGUUUAGAGGAUGAGCAAGUAGCAAGAGAAGGGACUUGGGGGACAUUCCGGGAAGUGAGGACGGCAACAGCAAAGAAAAACGGAGAAAAGAAACAGUUGGCGA